rnacentral:snRNA from 1 species
AGAAUCCUUUGCAGACGA